UACGGAACUACAUAAUUGUGCCGCAGAGAACAGAGAGAAAAAAGAAAAAACGGAUCGAACGCAGUCGCACACGAUCUGCAGACGAGAGAGAAUUGCCAUGGCAACACAAACGAAGAUUCAGACGACGUGAUGAUAGUUGAUUGGAGUACAUAUGGCUACAUCAAUACUCGCCCCUCACUCAAGAGGAGAAAAUUGUUAUCAAGUUGGCUGUCAAUUUUGCGGAUUCACUUCAGGUACACACUGACGACAAUACUGGCAUUGAUGCAAGAAGUCGCUCACUUCUUCAGAACAAAGUUUCAAACAGCCAACAUUGAGGAGUGAUCAGCCAUUGAUUCUCCCUUUUGUGUUGCCUAUUCCUGAUCAUUGGUUCCAGAUCACUUUUUGCUCAGGUACUCCAUACUGCAUCUCAAUUGGCUUUGUUUGGGUGUGUGCGGUAGUUAUUCUUCUACUUAAAAGGGAUAGUGGGCCGAGAAGUGACCGUGGAGCUCAAGAACGACCUUGCGAUUAGGGGUACUCUUCACGCUGUCAAUCAGUGUGCCUCAAUUCUCUUUGCUAAUUUACUCUUUCUUACGUGCCAGUGUGAUGAAACAAAGAGGAAAGAAGCAGCCAACAUGAAGGAACUGCAUGCAGCAACAAACAACUUUAAUUAUGACAACAAACUUGGAGAAGGAGGAUUUGGAAGUGUUUACUGGGGUCAGCUUUGGGAUGGAUCACAAAAAUACACCCCAACGACUCAUGGACCAAAUGGACCGUGCACGUGCCCGAGAUCGACAACGGCGACAGCCAAUGAGUUCUUCACAACGACAAGCAUAUUUGGCACGACGACGUGCAAUAGCUCAAGGAAAGCGACCAAUGGUGUAAACUAGCUCAAGCAACAUAACAAAACAAGCUCCAGGAAAGGUACGAAAUAGGUGCCCUCAACAAAAGAAAAAGUUUCAAAGAGAAGAGGGCUUUAGGAGACGUGUUUCCGUGUUCUCAUCUGGUUGGCGGAUGGGACAAUCAGUAAAAAUGAACACCGCUUAUCUUAGUGAGCUAAUUUUGAAAGAGUGGAAGAAAAAGAAGCAUGUACAAUAUGUAAUCUUAAUUGUUUUUUUUCCUUUUAGGUAUAGUAAUUUACUUGAUUUUCACCAUUUGAAAUUCUUACAGUUGGCGAUACAAAAACGCACGUAGAGAUUUGAUGACACACAACAUUUAUCAAAUUAAACAAACUUGGAGAAAGGUUUUGCGCAUUAGGAGGCAAAAGCAUCGUGAACAGAACAGCUUUUUAGAUAAGUUCUACAUCAAGCGUUUUGAGGAGUUGAAGCACUAAUGUGUGAUGUCUAAUAGAUUUUCAUUUCAAUGGCUUCUUAAUCCCACUCUCACACAACUAAUGAAAAUUAGGUAGAUUUACAUUAGGCUUUCCUAACCAAUUCCAAUAAUAAGUACACUUAAAUGUGUGAUGCCCUGGCCUCCCGUUAGGUUUCGGCCAUUAAAAUUGUAAAUAUUUGUAUAUAUUAAUACAUAUUUUUGUAUACAGUUUUAUGUUUUCUACUAAUGAAUUGCUAAAUGCAUAU